UACAGGGGGUGCAAACGUUGCUCGGAAUUAUUGGGCGUAAAGCGCGCGUAGGCGGCCACUUAAGUCGGAUGUGAAAGCCCCUGGCUCAACUGGGGAAGUGCACCCGAAACUGAAUGGCUUGAAUGCAAAAGAGGGUCGCGGAAUUCCCGGUGUAGAGGUGAAAUUCGUAGAUAUCGGGAGGAACACCGGUGGCGAAGGCGGCGUUCUGGACUGCAACUGACACUGAGGAACGAAAGCCAGGGGAGCAAACGGG
rnacentral:rRNA from 1 species